GGACGAACGCUGGCGGCGUGCCUAAUACAUGCAAGUCGAACGGUCUUUCUAUGGAAGCUGCUUCCACUGAGAAGAUAGUGGCGAACGGGUGAGUAACACGUGGGUAACCUGCCCAUAAGAGGGGGGAUAACGAUCCGGAAACGGGUGCUAAUACCGCAUAGUUUUCUUGAUCGCAUGAUCGGGAAAGGAAAGACGGCCUUUGUGCUGUCGCUUAUGGAUGGACCCGCGGCGUAUUAGUUAGUUGGUGAGGUAACGGCUCACCAAGACGAUGAUACGUAGCCGACCUGAGAGGGUGAUCGGCCACAUUGGGACUGAGACACGGCCCAAACUCCUACGGGAGGCAGCAGUAGGGAAUCUUCCGCAAUGGACGAAAGUCUGACGGAGCAACGCCGCGUGAGUGAAGAAAGGUUUUCGGAUCGUAAAACUCUGUUGUCAGAGAAGAACAAGUUGGAGAGUAACUGCUCCAGCCUUGACGGUAUCUGACCAGAAAGCCACGGCUAACUACGUGCCAGCAGCGGC
rnacentral:rRNA from 1 species